UUAGUGGGGAAUAACUGUCGGAAACGACAGCUAAUACCGCAUAAUAUUGCUGGAUAAUUUCCAGUAAUGAAAGGAGCUUUCAAGCUCCGCUGAUUGAUGAGGAUGCGGCGCAUUAGCUAGUUGGUAGGGUAAUGGCCUACCAAGGCAAUGAUGCGUAGCCGAUCUGAGAGGAUGAACGGCCACAUUGGGACUGAGACACGGCCCAAACUUCUACGGAAGGCAGCAGUAGGGAAUUUUUCACAAUGGGCGAAAGCCUGAUGGAGCAAUGCCGCGUGACUGAUGAAGGUCUUCGGAUUGUAAAGGUCUGUUGUAAGGGAAGAAAUGGUAAAACAGGAAAUGGUUUUAUCUAUGACGGUACCUUACCAGAAAGCCACGGCUAACUAUGUGCCAGCAGCCGCGGUAAUACAUAGGUGGCAAGCGUUAUCCGGAUUUAUUGGGCGUAAAGGGUGCGUAGACGGUUUUGCAAGUCUGAGGUUAAAUUUAGGAGCUCAACUCCUAAUCGCCUUGNAAACUACNAGACUANAGUAUANGA
rnacentral:rRNA from 1 species